rnacentral:rRNA from 1 species
AAACCGUUCCCGAGGAUCUAUUGGAGGGCAAGUCUGGUGCCAGCAGCCGCGGUAAUUCCAGCUCCAAUAGCGUAUAUUAAAGUUGUUGUGGUUAAAAAGCUCGUGGUUGGAUUUCGGCGGGUAGUGGUCGGUUUGAAUUGCUUCAACACUGGCUUUUUUACCCGUGUGUUUUGCCAGAAUUUAUCGGGUGAUCUUCGCCGAUUGUCCGUUAGAACUGGCAGGUUUACUUUGAAAAAAUUAGAGUGCUCAAAGCAAGCUUGAUUGCUUGAAUAUUCGUGCAUGGAAUAAUAGAAUAGGAAGUCGUUUCUAUUUUGUUGGUUUUCGGAAAUCGACUUAAUGAUUAAUAGGGAUAGUCGGGGGCAUUUGUAUUCAAACGACAGAGGUGAAAUUCUUGGACCGUUUGAAGACAAACUACUGCGAAAGCAUUUGCCAAGAAUGUUUUCAUUAAUCAAGAACGAAAGUUAGAGGUUCGAAGGCGAUUAGAUACCGCCCUAGUUCUAACCAUAAACGAUGCCAGCUAGCGAUCUGCCGGUGCUUGAUUUUCUGGCCCGGCAGGCAGCUUCCGGGAAACCAAAGCUUGUGGGUUCCAGGGGAAGUAUGGUUGCAAAGCUGAAACUUAAAGGAAUUGACGGAAGGGCACCACCAGGAGUGGAGCCUUUGGCUUAAUUUGACUCAACACGGGAAAUCUCACCAGGCCCGGACACCAGAAGGAUUGACAGAUUGAUAGCUCUUUCUUGAUUUGGUGGGUGGUGGUGCAUGGCCGUUCUUAGUUGGUGGAGUGAUUUGUCUGGUUAAUUCCGAUAACGAACGAGACUCUGUCCUGUUAAAUAGAUCCAACCUAGUUGUAGGGUUGGAAUGUCUUCUUAGAGGGACUGGUGAUUAUUAGUCACACGAGAUUGAGCAAUAACAGGUCUGUGGUGCCCUUAGAUGUUCUGGGCCGCACACGCGCUACACUGAAGUGAUCAGCUAGUUUUUCCCUCUCCGAGAGGAGCGGGUAAACUGUUGAACCCACUUCGUGGUAGGGAUCGGAGCUUGCAAUUAUUCUCCGUGAACCAGGAAUUCCCAGUAGGUGCAAGUCAUAAGCUUGCAUCGAUUACGUCCCUGCCCUUUGUACACACCGCCCGUCGCUACUACCGAUUGAGUGUUUUAGUGAGGACCUCGGAUUGCUUGCCUGGCGGUUAACGCUGCCUAGCUGGCGAAAAGACGUCCAAACUGUAGCACUUAGAGGAAGUAAAAGUC